UGGGGAAUUUUGGACAAUGGGCGAAAGCCUGAUCCAGCAAUGCCGCGUGUGUGAAGAAGGCCUUCGGGUUGUAAAGCACUUUUGUCCGGAAAGAAAUCCUUGGCUCUAAUACAGUCGGGGGAUGACGGUACCGGAAGAAUAAGCACCGGCUAACUACGUGCCAGCAGCUGCGGUAAUACGUAGGGUGCAAGCGUUAAUCGGAAUUACUGGGCGUAAAGCGUGCGCAGGCGGUUUGCUAAGACCGAUGUGAAAUCCCCGGGCUCAACCUGGGAACUGCAUUGGUGACUGGCAGGCUAGAGUAUGGCAGAGGGGGGUAGAAUUCCACGUGUAGCAGUGAAAUGCGUAGAGAUGUGGAGGAAUACCGAUGGCGAAGGCAGCCCCCUGGGCCAAUACUGACGCUCAUGCACGAAAGCGUGGGGAGCAAAACAGGAUUAGAUACCCUGGUAGUCCACGCCCUAAAACGAUGUCAACUAGUUGUUGGGGAUUCAUUUCCUUAGUAACGUAGCUAACGCGUGAAGUUGACCGCCUGGGGAGUACGGUCGCAAGAUUAAAACUCAAAGGAAUUGACGGGGUCAUAGCUGUUUCCU
rnacentral:rRNA from 1 species